rnacentral:pre_miRNA from 1 species
UUAGCGCAAAUUUUUAUGCAGUUGGAACGUUUGCCUACGUUUGCCGCUAGAGGGCGCUGUCCCAACUACAUACAAAAAAUUUGCAUUA